ensembl:lncRNA
UAUGAAAGUUCCCAGCCUAGGGGUUGAAUCGGAGCUGCAGCUGCCAGCCUGCGCCAUAGCCACAGCCACUCAGGAUCUGAGCCAUGUCUGUGACUUACCGCAGCUCCCAGCAAUGCCGAUCCUUUAACCCACUGAGCAGGGGCAGGGAUCGAACCUGCAUCCUCACUGAUACUAGUCGGUUUCUUAACCUGCUGAAGCACAAAAGGAACUCCCCAAAACAGAAUGCUUAACCCUUCCCCCAGCCUAGUCCCCCUGCUUAGACUCUUAUAGUUCAUUCUCCACAAAAUAUAAUCAAACGAGCUCCUGCCUCUGCUCAAUUCCGUCAAUGGCUUCCCACAGUCCCUGGAAUAAUAUGCGAACCCUCUCUCACAGCCAGCAGGACCCCAGUUUGGACCCCAGCCAUCUUUCUGCCAUGCUGUCCCACAUGCACUAGGCUCCCUCCUGUCUGCAAGCACGCCCAGCUCCUUCCAGCCUCAGAGCCUUUAGACCGCUCUCCCUGCCCAGAACAAACUCACUCCAGCUACUCUGAGCGCCUUAUCAGUCAGGUUUCAGGUCAAAUUUCAGUUCCAAACUUUGAGACACAUUCAACUUUUGAAAUUAGUUCCCCUUACCGCCGUAGAGUAACCCUCAUUCCCAAUUCUCUCAAAUCACCCUGAGUUUUCUUUCCCUUCCAGGCACUUACCCUCACUUUCAAAGCACAGACUCUGGGGAGUUCCUGUCGAGGUGCAGCAGAAACAAAUCCAACUAGGAACCAUGAGGUUUCGGGUUCGGUCCCUAGCCUCGCUCCGUGGGUUAAGGAUCCAGCGUUGCUGUGAGCUGUGGUGUAGGUCGCAGACGCAGCUUGGAUCUGGUGUGGCUGUAGCUGUGCUGUAGGCCGGCAGCUGUAGCUCUGAUUAGACCCCUAGCCUGGGAACCUCCAUAUGCCACUGGAGCGGCCCAAGAAAUGGCAAAAAGACAAAAAAUUUUAAAAAAUAAAUAAAACAAAAUAAAUAAAAUGAACCAAUAAUUCAUUCUUUCCCAAGUAUGUUAUACUGUGUGUCUAGGAAAACCCUGGUACCUUGGCCUUGCAGCCUGACGUUCUGGCUAGAAAUAGAUAGGAACGGUCUAGUCAAGUGUUCAUUCCCAAGCCGUAAAUGAACAGUAAUGCUCUGUUUCCUUAAGGGAGUCGAAGCUGCUCGAGUCCCAAAAGCAUGACAUACUGCAGAAUGAUUUAUGCACAAGAGCUCAGAACAUUUCUGAAAAACUAGAGCAUAUUUUAACAAGUCAAUAAAAAUGGAGAGUACUUUCAAAUACCUGUAACAGCACAAAUAAGCAUUUCCCCCAAAUGGGACCCUUUUAGAAAAUUCUAGUUGCAGGACCUUGCCAGAGUAGGAGCUCAAAGAACAGGUGCUAAAUGAAACAGCAGAACACUGGCAAGGAAAGUAAACAGUAUAAGAAACCCUUCGAAUGGGAUUACAUAUAAAGUUUCACCUCCUGGAGUUCCCGUCAUGGCUCAGUGGUUUAAUGAAUCCAACUAUGAGGUUGGAUUCAUUAAUGAAUGAAUCCAACCAUGAGGUUGUAGGUUCGAUUCCUGGCCUCACUCAGUGGCUUAAGGAUCCAGCGUUGCCAUGAGCUGUGGUGUCGAGGACGUAUGGAGGAUGUGGCUUGGAUCCCAAGAUGCUGACAGGACAGGUGUAGCUCCGAUUGGACCCCUAGCUUGGGAACCUCCACAUACCGAGGGUGCAGACCUAGAAAAGGCAAAAAGACCAAAAGAGAAAAAAAGAAGUUUCACUUCCUUUUGGCUCACAUACUCUUAAAAGGAAGCAGAGGUAUCAGAAAAAUUUUCCCUUCUUUGACGGAUGGGAAAUGGCUGCUUUAUUUGACAUUUCUCUGAUUAGUAGGAAAGGACGAAUGUUUUUCAUGUUUAUUUACAUCUGAAAUUUCCAUUGUGAAAUAAAAUUCAAUUAAAAAACAAAAUUAAAAAAUUUAAAAAAUAAAAUUCAUAUUUUAUGGCAAGACAAGAAAAAUUUAAACAUAAAAAUUCUUCUCUGCCCUUUGGCCUCCUCUUUCCCCCACUGUGCACCGUGUAUCUGCAUUACCCACAGACCAGACUUCCCCAUCAGCAGGAGAACCUGCUCAACCAUAAACAGCAACAUCCUGUCAGCACCAACAAAACUAGUCCUUAAAAGAUAACAUUCCUGGAGUUCCCAUGAUGGCUCAGUGGUUAAUCUGACUAGGAACCAUGAGGUUGUGGGUUCGAUCCCUGGCCUUGCUCAGUGGGUUAAGGAUCCAGCGUUGCCGUGAGCUGUGGUGUAGGUCGCAGACGCGGCUCUCAGAUCCCGCGUUGCUGUGGCUGUGGCGCAGGCUGGCGUCUACAGCUCCGAUUAGACCCCUAGCCUGGGAACCUCCAUAUGCUGUGGGUGCGGCCCUAGAAAAGGCAAAAAGACAAAAAAAAAAAAAAAAAAAAGGUAACAUUCCGCCUUGACUUUGUAAGGGAUCACAUGGCCCACUAGGAUAAUGCUUAGAUCUGGAUUGUGCCAAACUCUCUGUAAUGACACAUCAUCUGAUAUACAGUCCUCUUCGCAAAAAACUCAUAUAAACUGUCUUGACUUCUAGCAGGCAGAACAGUUCUCAGAGCUUUCUGAGACUCUCUUUCCAGAUAUUAUCCUCAAAUCUGGCACAGAUAAAAUCUUCCAAUUCUUUCUUAGAUCAACUGAUUAAUUUUUCAUUGACACCAUUAGGGUCAAUUAAUUUGUCUGUCCACCUAUUAAUUUCUCUACUGAAGUCUAGAUGUGUUUAUUCCUACAAAUUUGAAAAAACAGUAUACCUACACUGACCUUUUUGUCAUAUUUGACAUUCCCAGGCUAUUCUUUAAUUUUAGUUUUCAAUGAGCAAAUAUGUUAACAUUUGACAUAUUUAGACCUGGAAAACUUCUUUUGAACUCUUCUGCCUUUUUUUUUUUCUUUUUUUUUUUUUUUUUUUUUUUUUUUUUUUUUUUUUUUGUUGUUGUUGUUGUUGCUGGUUUUUUUUACAUUUUAGGGCCUCGCCUGCAACAUAUGGAGGCUCUCAGGCUAAGGGUCAAAUCGGAGCUGCAGCUGCCGGCCUAAGCCACAGCCACAGCAACACCGGAUCCUUAACCCACUGAGCAAAGCCAGGGAUCAAACCCGCAUCCUCAUGGACACUAGUCAGGUUCGUUAUCGCUGAACCACGAUGGGAACUCCUGAAUCCUUCUGCUUUUAAAGAGAAAGUUAUCAUUCCUUCAUAGGCACAUGUCUAAAAAAAUGUUCCAAGAAAGUUUUAGGCAUUAUCUCUGAUAAACACUAUUUUGCUUUUUCUCCACGGUCUCUAUAUUUUAAACAUUUCUCCUGAAUCCAUCUGGAAUUUAUUUUGAUAAAUGUUUUCUAGUUAUUGCAUUCCCAGUCACCCCUCCUCCCUGGAGAUACAGCGUGUGCUUCGUGUGCUUCUUCACUCCCCGCCCGACCUCACUGACGAAUGUUUCAACUCUGCACCAGCAGCACCCCACUACUGCCUCAUCAUCUACAAUGCUGUCUUUUCCACCUCAGUCUCAUUUGCAAUAAAAUAUAAAUCAUGUUCCAAGGUUGUUGGGGCAAUUAAAAAUAAUAAGUGUAAAAUACCUGGCACAAUGUCUGGCACUAGUGGAUACCCCAUAAACAGGAAAUAUUUUAAUUAUCUAACAUCUGAUAAAAGUAAUAGCUAAAAAGCUCCUUUCAAAAACUUCUAGAACAUUAAGUUUAACCAACCAAAACUUAAAAUACAUUAUUUUAUGAAAAAUAACAUCCUAUAAAAUUAUUGUGUUCUAACUAGUAACACAAGUAGCACAAAUCAGUAAGUGAAGUUUCUCAGUCUAACUCAAUCCCUAAACCAACACUGCAGCGGAGCUUACCGAAACAGACUUGGGUGUGGUUCUGAACACACUCUGGGUGAGGCCACUAAUGAUAAGCCAACCAUCUGUUUAACCGAAAAAAUUUAAGUGAACUUUAAUGCACCCUUAUCCUGUUGAUAUUUCCAAAUAUUUAUCUGUCAGAUAACAAUGGUACAGAAAGAAACUGGCUUGGGUCUUCCCUGAAACUCCAUUAGCCUCUCAAUGCUAAACAACUGACAACUGUGCUCAAUUGUCUGUGGCGUUUAGACCCUAGGGCCAAGCCACCUGGGUUGUGAUCCUAGUUUAGCAUUUACUAACUAUAUAAGCUUAGGCACAUUUCUUCAUCUCUCUCUAUGCCUCAGUUUCUUCACCUGUCAAUGGGAAUGACAUUAAUAUCUACUUCCUUGGUUUAGAUUAAAUGCAUUAAUUUAUGCCAAAUGUUUUACACAGUGCCUGGCACACAGUAAGCCAACAGGAUAAAUGGUAGCUAUUAUUAUUACAAGCAGCAGUAUCUUUAAAGACUGACUGAAUCCCUUUAAAAAGAGCACUGGAGAACAGUCCAUGAUGGCACGGACGGACUGUCUUUCGUGACACCUGCACAGGGACACACGGCAGCAGCACUUUUGAGAGCACCUCCUACAGACUGUAUUGCAGCUCUGUACCGUUAGUUUUCAAUACAACAGCUAGACGGCAAGCUUACUGAGGCAGGAGCUAUUACAAUGCUUUACCUUCCAAAAUUCCCAACACAAGCUCUCAACACAGAUCUAAACUGAUGCUUACUAAAUUAACAUAAUAGAAAUAAAGGGCAAUGAGACAAAACUUUAGAAGUUUACAUGUUUAGCAUCAGAAGGAGUCUGGGAAGCCAUCUCAUCAUUUUACAGAUGAUAAAACAGCCAACGACUUGAGCCAAGCAAGUCUCACAUGCCGGCCAAGCCGUAGCUGGCUCCUUCCUGUACCGAGAACAUCGACACACCCUGUUCACUGCGCUGACUCUCAAACUGUGCAUUGCAGGAUCACCUCAUACUAGGUAUGCUUUUCUUAAGUUUUCAACCAACACACAACCACUACUUCCCUUACUAACAAAUACCACCUGGAGAUCUCAAGUGAGGGAAGUAUUUUAGAGAACCUCUCAAAUAAGAUUUUCCAUAAAAACAAAUGUUAUUUGCAUGUAAGAAAUACAUAAAACCUCCAAAGGCUAAACAACAACAGCUGAAACCUUAAGAAUGAAACUAGAACUCUGAAA